rnacentral:rRNA from 1 species
UCCUGGCUUAGGAUGAACGCUGGCGGCGUGCUAACACAUGCAAGUCGAACGAAGCUCCCAGAUCUGAUGAUUCGUCUGAAGUGAAGGGAAGACUUAGUGGCGGACGGGUGAGUAACGCGUGGGUAACCUGCCUUACACAGGGGGAUAACAGUUAGAAAUGACUGCUAAUACCGCAUAAGCGCACAGUAUCGCAUGAUACAGUGUGAAAAACUCCGGUGGUGUAAGAUGGACCCGCGUCUGAUUAGCUAGUUGGUGAGGUAACGGCCCACCCAAGGCGACGAUCAGUAGCCGGCCUGAGAGGGUGAACGGCCACAUUGGGACUGAGACACGGCCCAAACUCCUACGGGAGGCAGCAGUAGGGAAUAUUGGACAAUGGGGGAAACCCUGAUCCCAGCGACGCCGCGUGAGUGAAGAAGUAUUUCGGUACGUAAAGCUCUAUCAGCAGGGAAGAAAAUGACGGUACCUGACUAAGAAGCACCGGCUAAAUACGUGCCAGCCGCCGC